rnacentral:rRNA from 1 species
CUACGGGUCGCUCCAGUGAGGAAUUUUGCGCAAUGGGGGAAACCCUGACGCAGCAACGCCGCGUGAGCGAAGAAGGCCUUCGGGUCGUAAAGCUCUGUCAAGUGGGAAAAAAAUUCUUUGAUGAACAGUCAAAGGACUUGAUGGUACCACUGGAGGAAGCACCGGCUAACUCCGUGCCAGCAGCCGCGGUAAUACGGAGGGUGCAAGCGUUGUUCGGAAUUACUGGGCGUAAAGAGCGUGUAGGCGGUUUGACAAGUCAGAUGUGAAAGCCCCGGGCUCAACCCGGGAAGUGCAUUUGAAACUGUUUCACUAGAGUAUGGGAGAGGAGAUUGGAAUUCCUGGUGUAGAGGUGAAAUUCGUAGAUAUCAGGAGGAACACCCGUGGCGAAGGCGAUUCUCUGGACCAAUACUGACGCUGAGACGCGAUAGCGUGGGGAGCAAACAGGAUUAGAUACCCUAGUAGUC